rnacentral:rRNA from 1 species
GACGAACGCUGGCGGCGUGCUUAACACAUGCAAGUCGAACGGAAAGGCCCUGCUUGCAGGGUGCUCGAGUGGCGAACGGGUGAGUAACACGUGGGUGAUCUGCCCCUUACUUUGGGAUAAGCCUGGGAAACUGGGUCUAAUACUGGAUAGGACCAUGCUGUAGGUGGUGUGGUGGAAAGAUUAGUUUCGGUAAGGGAUGAGCUCGCGGCCUAUCAGCUUGUUGGUGGGGUAAUGGCCUACCAAGGCGUCGACGGGUAGCCGGCCUGAGAGGGUGGACGGCCACAUUGGGACUGCGAUAAGGCCCAGACUCCUACGGGAGGCAGCAGUGGGGAAUAUUGCACAAUGGGCGCAAGCCUGAUGCAGCGACGCCGCGUGGGGGAUGACGGCCUUCGGGUUGUAAACUCCUUUCAGCCAUGACGAAGCCCUUGUGGUGACGGUAGUGGUAGAAGAAGCACCGGCUAACUACGUG